rnacentral:rRNA from 1 species
CAGUAGCCGCGGUAAAACGGAGGGUGCAAGCGUUAAUCGGAAUUACUGGGCGUAAAGCGCACGCAGGCGGUCUGUUAAGUCAGAUGUGAAAUCCCCGAGCUUAACUUGGGAACUGCAUUUGAAACUGGCAAGCUAGAGUCUUGUAGAGGGGGGUAGAAUUCCAGGUGUAGCGGUGAAAUGCGUAGAGAUCUGGAGGAAUACCGGUGGCGAAGGCGGCCCCCUGGACAAAGACUGACGCUCAGGUGCGAAAGCGUGGGGAGCAAACAGGAUUAGAUACCCCAGUAGUCCCUGUCUCUUAUAC